AUUGAACGCUGGCGGCAUGCCUUACACAUGCAAGUCGAACGGUAACGCGGGGCAACCUGGCGACGAGUGGCGAACGGGUGAGUAAAGCAUCGGAACGUGCCCAGUAGUGGGGGAUAGCCCGGCGAAAGCCGGAUUAAUACCGCAUACGACCUACGGGUGAAAGGGGGGGAUCGCAAGACCUCUCGCUCUUGGAGCGGCCGAUGUCAGAUUAGGUAGUUGGUGGGGGAAAGGCCUACCAAGCCGACGAUCUGUAGCUGGUCUGAGAGGACGACCAGCCACACUGGGACUGAGACACGGUCCAGACUCCUACGGGAGGCAGCAGUGGGGAAUUUUGGACAAUGGGCGCAAGCCUGAUCCAGCAAUGCCGCGUGCAGGAUGAAGGCCUUCGGGUUGUAAACUGCUUUUGUACGGAACGAAACGGCCCUUUCUAAUACAGGGGGCUAAUGACGGUACCGUAAGAAUAAGCACCGGCUAACUACGUGCCAGCAGCCGCCGUAA
rnacentral:rRNA from 1 species